rnacentral:tRNA from 1 species
GCCUUCGUAGUGUAGUGGUCAGCACGCUCGACGCGUAACCGAGAGAUCCGUGGUUCGAUUCCAGGCGAAGGCG